CUCCUACGGGAGGCAGCAGUGGGGAAUUUUGGACAAUGGGCGCAAGCCUGAUCCAGCCAUUCCGCGUGAGUGAAGAAGGCCUUCGGGUUGUAAAGCUCUUUCGGCAGGGAAGAAACAGUUGAGGCUAAUACCCUUGACCAAUGACGGUACCUGCAUAAGAAGCACCGGCUAACUACGUGCCAGCAGCCGCGGUAAUACGUAGGGUGCGAGCGUUAAUCGGAAUUACUGGGCGUAAAGCGUGCGCAGGCGGUUUUUCAAGUCUGAUGUGAAAGCCCCGGGCUUAACCUGGGAACUGCGUUGGAAACUGAAAGACUAGAGUGCGGCAGAGGGGGGUAGAAUUCCACGUGUAGCAGUGAAAUGCGUAGAUAUGUGGAGGAAUACCGAUGGCGAAGGCAGCCCCCUGGGUCGACACUGACGCUCAUGCACGAAAGCGUGGGUAGCAAACAGGAUUAGAUACCCUGG
rnacentral:rRNA from 1 species